rnacentral:lncRNA from 1 species
AUUAAGGUAUAUUCUAUUUUUUUGAGUGAACCUAUAUUCUAUUUUUGAGUAAGCUUAUAUUACUUUAAAUUGUUGAACCCCUAUUUAAAGUGUACCUUUAAACUAUGUUUCUAUUAAGAUCACCUCUCUGGUAUAUGCUACUGGUGAAACAAAGAGAUGGGAACAAAGAUACCCCUAUUCUAUAGGCCUUGUUUAUGUCUUAAACCCAGACCACUUCCUUUAUUCGUAGAGUACAUAAAUCAUGAAUGACCAGUGGAUACACUUACUGGUACCCCUUUGUCUUGGGGAUAGGGAAUAGUGGGGUUGUUUGCCUGGUUUGGAAGAAAGAUUGGCUUUCUCGUUGAGAGCAAGUUUAGACUUCAAGGCAGAUAGACGUGUGAUGUAACUUCCCCCAGAAGUUACUAUGUCGCAGCUUUUUAAGACCUGCCUUGAUUUUGUUUCUUAACAGUUUCACCAUGGUUCCACCAUGGUUCCACUUCCAUUUCCCUCGGGACAAGAGUUGGGACUGCUGUCGUUGUUCAGGCAACGCUCUCCGCCUGAUCGAUGUAUUUAGUGCUUACUGACGAACGACUUGUGUUUUAUCAUUUGUACUUCAUAUGAACAUCUAUUCUUUUCUUCUAUUCCCUAAUAUGUUUCUACUGUACAGUGUAGUUUACUUUGCUCUUUUGCUAUCAUUUUUGUAAUAAACAUAUUGUAAAGCUUUGCAUGUAGCUGUUUUGUAAGAAUUGUUGUUUGAAAUCAAAAUGCCAGUUGUCACACUGGGAAUUUAUUAUCGGUGUACCUUUGACACUGAAUAUUAAUAAAUACCUCUUUGGAAUCUUUGGCACAAAA